AUACGGAGGAUCCGAGCGUUAUCCGGAUUUAUUGGGUUUAAAGGGAGCGUAGGUGGAUUGUUAAGUCAGUUGUGAAAGUUUGCGGCUCAACCGUAAACUUGCAGUUGAAACUGGCAGUCUUGAGUACAGUAGAGGUGGGUGGAAUUCGUGGGGUAGCGGUGGAAUGCUUAGAUAUCACGAAGAACUCCGAUUGCGAAGGCAGCUCACUAGGCUGUUACUGACACUGAUGCUCGAAAGUGUGGGUAUCAAACAGGAUUAGAUACCCUGGUAGUCCACACAGUAAACGAUGAAUACUCGCUGUUUGCGAUAUACAGUAAGCGGCCAAGCGAAAGCAUUAAGUAUUCCACCUGGGGAGUACGCCGGCAACGGUGAAACUCAAAUGAAUUGGCGGGG
rnacentral:rRNA from 1 species